GUAGGUGGCAAGCGUUGUCCGGAAUUAUUGGGCGUAAAGCGCGCGCAGGCGGUUCUUUAAGUCUGAUGUGAAAGCCCACGGCUCAACCGUGGAGGGUCAUUGGAAACUGGAGAACUUGAGUACAGAAGAGGAAAGCGGAAUUCCACGUGUAGCGGUGAAAUGCGUAGAGAUGUGGAGGAACACCAGUGGCGAAGGCGGCUUUCUGGUCUGUAACUGACGCUGAGGCGCGAAAGCGUGGGGAGCAAACAGGGAUUAGAUACCCUGGUAGUCCACGCCGUAAACGAUGAGUGCUAAGUGUUAGGGGGUUUCCCGCCCCUUAGUGCUGCAGCUAACGCAUUAAGCAUUCCGCCUGGGGAGUACGGCCGCAAGGCUG
rnacentral:rRNA from 1 species